rnacentral:rRNA from 1 species
UACGUAGGGUGCAAGCGUUGUCCGGAAUUAUUGGGCGUAAAGAGCUCGUAGGCGGUCUGGCGCGUCGGCUGUGAAAACUCGGGGCUUAACCCCGGGCCUGCAGUGGGUACGGGCAGACUAGAGUGCGGUAGGGGAGACUGGAAUUCCUGGUGUAGCGGUGAAAUGCGCAGAUAUCAGGAGGAACACCGGUGGCGAAGGCGGGUCUCUGGGCCGUACCUGACGCUGGGGCGCGAAAGCGUGGGGAGCGAACAGG